UACACUCCUACGGGAGGCAGCAGUGGGGAAUAUUGGACAAUGGGCGCAAGCCUGAUCCAGCCAUGCCGCGUGAGUGAUGAAGGCCCUAGGGUUGUAAAGCUCUUUCACCGGUGAAGAUAAUGACGGUAACCGGAGAAGAAGCCCCGGCUAACUUCGUGCCAGCAGCCGCGGUAAUACGAAGGGGGCUAGCGUUGUUCGGAUUUACUGGGCGUAAAGCGCACGUAGGCGGACUAUUAAGUCAGGGGUGAAAUCCCGGGGCUCAACCCCGGAACUGCCUUUGAUACUGGUAGUCUUGAGUUCGAGAGAGGUGAGUGGAAUUCCGAGUUUAGAGGUGAAAUUCGUAGAUAUUCGGAGGAACACCAGUGGCGAAGGCGGCUCACUGGCUCGAUACUGACGCUGAGGUGCGAAAGCGUGGGGAGCAAACAGGAUUAGAAACCCCUGUAGUCCC
rnacentral:rRNA from 1 species